rnacentral:rRNA from 1 species
AUUGAACGCUGGCGGCAUGCUUUACACAUGCAAGUCGAACGGCAGCGGGGGCUUCGGCCCGCCGGCGAGUGGCGAACGGGUGAGGAAUGCAUCGGAACGUGCCCAGUCGUGGGGGAUAACACAUCGAAAGAUGUGCUAAUACCGCAUACGUCCUGAGGGAGAAAGCGGGGGAUCUUCGGACCUCACGUGAUUGGAGCGGCCGAUGUCAGAUUAGCUAGUUGGUGAGGUAAAGGCUCACCAAGGCGACGAUCUGUAGCGGGUCUGAGAGGAUGAUCCGCCACACUGGGACUGAGACACGGCCCAGACUCCUACGGGAGGCAGCAGUGAGGAAUAUUGGUCAAUGGACGCAAGUCUGAACCAGCCACGUCGCGUGAAGGAAGACGGCCCUACGGGUUGUAAACUUCUUUUAUACGGGAAUAAAGUGCCCCACGCGUGGGUUUUGCGAUGUACCGUAUGAAUAAGGAUCGGCUAACUCCGUGCCAGCAG